rnacentral:rRNA from 1 species
UACGUAGGGUGCUAGCGUUGUUCGGAAUCAUUGGGCGUAAAGCGCGUGCAGGCUGUUAGAUAAGUCAGAUGUGAAAUCCCUGGGCUCAACCGAGGAAGUGCAUUUGAAACUAUCUAGCUAGAAGAUGGUAGAGGAAGGUGGAAUUCCAAGUGUAGAGGUGAAAUUCGUAGAUAUUUGGAGGAAUACCGGUGGCGAAGGCGGCCUUCUGGGCCAUUCUUGACGCUGAGACGCGAAAGCGUGGGUAGCAAACAGG